rnacentral:lncRNA from 1 species
GUGAGGAAGACCCAGAAACUCUGGGACCAUCUCAUUCCCAACCAUGAACUCCUUGGUGAGCACUGAAAGCCCCCAGCAGGCCACAGGAAGGCUGGAGACAUGCAUUACCACAGAUCAACUUCCACAAAUACAGCCCAGGUGAGUCUGGGACAGCUGGGCUGAGUGAGGCAUUACCACUUACAAAGAAACCAGGGCUCCUGGCCAACUGUCAACCCAAAUAAACUGUGGACACUGUUCAGAGAACAGACAGGGUCAGCACUAAAAAAAAAAUAAAAACUAAAAUUUAAAUUUAAAUUUAAAAAGCCCAAAACUAUAGACACACUCUAAAGAGCUUCUAUGAAGCCUGUGUCAUAAAGGCCAAUUCUUCAGCAGAAGAGCUGAA